GGGACCCGGAAGUGGGGGGCUGCGGCGGGAGGUGAGGGCCGCCUGCCUGGCCGGACCCCAGGGGUGUCGGACGGUGGGCAGGGCCUCCUGGGAUCCCUGAGGCGCCGGCAGGAGGAGACGCCCUGGGGUCGGUGCCGCCACCUUCCCGUCCGGGCGGUUACAGCUUUCCCGCGUUCGCUGUCAGAGGCAGGGACCGGCGACCUCGGGGGCCUGGUCCCUGAGCCACAGCGGGGAGUCGUCCGAGCAUCUCGGGAUGAGGAAGGAGCCUGUGACUGACUACAGCAGGAGAGCAGGCGUGGCAUGGAUCCCGUGCAAGCCGGCAGUGGAGACCCAGCACCUGAGAGUGACGUGGGGAACUACAAGGAGCUAGAAGUGACUUAGGCCGAGCUUUUGUAAAGAUGAGGUGUGAGUGUAAUAUCAGGAUGAUUUGACUGCAAGCAACAGAGAAUCAAACAGAAAUGGCCUAGGGAGUCCCUUCGUGGCUCCCCAGUUAACAAUCUGACUGGAUCAUGAGGAUGCAGGUUCAAUCCCCGGCCUCUAUCAGUGGGCGAAGGAUCUAGUGCUACCAUGAGCUGUGCUGUGGUGUAGGCUGGCGGCCGCAGCUCCAGUUGGACCGCUAGCCCGGGAACUUCCAUAUGCUGUGGGUGCAGCCCUAAAAAGCAAAAACAAACAAAAAAAAUGAAACAAAACAAAACAAAAAAUCCACAAAAAAAAUCAGAAAUGGCCUAAACAAAGAAGAAAACAUGUUAUCCCAUACUACAAGAAGUUUGGGGGUUGAGUGGUUAAACGCAUGAUUAGUUUAGAAACUUGACAGCACCACCCAGGACCCAUUUUCCCUAAGGCGCUGCUGCCCCCCACCCUGUAGGCUUAGCCACCGCAGCAAAGACACCCCCCUUCCCCAACCAGAGCCCUGCGUCAGGACUGGAAGGGGCCUCCUUCCCUCCAUCCCCUUCCAGAACCUCGGCAGAAGACUCCCCUUGACGUCUCAUUCCAUCCCAUACUGGUCACUUUGCAGGGGAACGGAUUUACCAUGGUGGCCAGAGACAAUUAAGUCGCCCCCAUCUCUGGAGAACACUUGACCACUCAGUACCCAGCAACUCGGGUACUCCUGGCAAGAAAGAGACAGGUGAUACCCACUGGGUCCUGUCCACAGCGCCUGCCCCCAGCAACCUGUCUACCUGGAAAACUGAGGGGGUGCCACGCGGGUCUGUGUCUUCUCUGUAGUUUGCCCGAGUCUUUCCCAUUAGGUAAGUGUCGCCCUUUUCCCUCUUUGCGGCUUUCCUCCUUGGCACGUCACCCAGGUUUUGUUCAGCCACAAGGGGCGAUAGGCUGAAAGAGGAAUCUCCAGGCCUAGGUGAUGGGCCAGCCGUGGUGAUCCUCACCCGUUUGCCUGGGCACCGUUUGGGAAACGUCCCCCUGCUCACCACGGAGAUGAAAGACCAGGUCCCUGGAGGGGCUUCGCGGAAGGAUUUUUCACCCCAGUAAAGCGGAAGACAAGCCAGGGGUGUCCUGCCCUACGCGCCGUCUGCCUCUGAGCCGCCGCCAGCUCACACCCUUGAGCAGAAACGUUGCAGGGAGGCAGAAAGGGCCGAGUCUCAUGGAUUGUGCUGAGCGUUGCAUCCACCCAGGACUGCUUACCUUCAGACUUCUGCUCCGGUGGCAGAGCAGCAAACCCCUAUUGUGUAAGCCUUUGUAGAUGGCUGGUGCCACUUGCUGCUGAAAGUGACAGAUAAUCUUUCUAGGAAUAUAACCCCUAAAGCCCUUUAUGGUAACAGAUGCACUUAGAGAAUGUAGUUUUCUUUCUUUUUCUUACUUAAAAAAAAAAAAAGCUGAAGUCUGCCUCAGGCAAAAAGACAAACUGAAAACAUAUGUAUGCAUAAUUGAAGUGCAAUCAAUAUUCAUUAGAAAAUGAACGAAUGUUCUUCAGGUUACUUUAAUAGUUUUCUCAGGGAAUCUGUUUUUGGAUACGUAUGUCAGCUACAAUAUUUGGCACUUCCAGGAGCUCUGUGUUGAUGUCCUUCCUAGAAAUUGCACUUCUGCGCAUUUUUCUGCGCCUUUGGGGUCUCAGAUGUUCCUGGAAGGAAUCACUUUUCACUCCCCUGGCUUUUCCCUCGAACAGGUAACUUGUAACUUGCUGUUGCCUAUAGAUAUCGAGCAUUUGUCCAAAAAUAUGUUCCUACAAUACCUUCCUGUCUCAGCCAUUCCAUUCACAAGACAGUUUAAACAUUUCUCCAUACUAUUCCACACAUCAUUCAUAGAGGAACCAUCUGAACCAUGCAACAAAGUCUAGAAACUUUUAUGACUUUUAACUUCCACGACAAGUUAUCAUGUACUUGGUACCCUCAGCCAGGUACAUGUUAAGCUCAGGUUUCAUGUAGGUUAGCGUGGAGCCAUAUUUCCUUGUGGAUAAACCUAUAGAUUUAUCCCCACCCCCGCUUCCCUUCCCAGAAGUAACUGUUGCCUUGACAACAGGGUAAGGACAGCAGUGAUGACGGCUGUGAUAACGAUUAUGAUAAUGAUGGCAGGAGAAACUGUAUGCUGGCCAUUAUCUAAGCACUUUACAUGCAUUAGCUCCUUUAACGCCCAAGGAGGCAUGUGACAGAAAUGCUAUUUUUAUCCCCGUGUUAGAGAUGAGGGCUGAGGAAAGACUGGUGAGGUGCCUUGCCCAAGGCCACACGUCUGGUCCCCAGAGAAGCCAGGCUUCCUACCCAGGCAACCCAGGGGUCCCAUACACUGUCGCUGCCUGAUAGGUAGCAGUGGUGGUGAUACACACUUCCUCUAGGUACAUGCGCAUCCAUAAUAAAGACGCAGUAGACUUAUUUGCAUAUUUAAAAAAGUGUAUGGUUUCAGAACAUUUGUUGUUUUUCCCUGUUAUGAAUCGUGUCGCAGUAAACGUCUCGCGUGCAUCAC
rnacentral:lncRNA from 1 species